rnacentral:rRNA from 1 species
UACGUAGGGUGCGAGCGUUGUCCGGAAUUAUUGGGCGUAAAGGGCUCGUAGGCGGUUUGUCGCGUCGGGAGUGAAAUCCACUGGCUUAACUGGUGGCUUGCUUUCGAUACGGGCAGACUGGAGGUAUGCAGGGGGAGAACGGAAUUCCUGGUGUAGCGGUGAAAUGCGUAGAUAUCGGGAGGAACACCAGUGGCGAAGGCGAUCACCUGGGGUUGUUCUGACGCUGAGGAGCGAAAGCUAGGGGAGCAAACGGG